rnacentral:rRNA from 1 species
UUAGCCCUACGGGUGGCAGCAGGGAAUAUUGCUCAAUGGGGGAAACCCUGAAGCAGCAACGCCGCGUGGAGGAUGAAGGUUUUAGGAUUGUAAACUCCUUUUGUUAGAGAAGAUUAUGACGGUAUCUAACGAAUAAGCACCGGCUAACUCCGUGCCAGCAGCCGCGGUAAUACGGAGGGUGCAAGCGUUACUCGUAAUCACUGGGCGUAAAGAGUGCGUAGGCGGGGUAAUCAGUCAGAUGUGAAAUCCU